UUUUGUUGAAGUUCAAUUUUAAUUAUUUUUUUUUCAAAAAAUUUUUUUUUAUGUUUAAAUGUCAACAAUAAAAAUAUUUCAAUGGAGGCAUGCACAUAAAAAUCAACCAGACCAUAAUAGGUGACAAUAGCAUUCCUUUUCAUCAUUCUCACAUACCCACACAGAAACACACACACACCUCACUCACAUCUUUCGGAAAUGUCUACAUAGAAAAAUAUAGCCACAUACUCAAUAAAUAAUUUCACACACUAACAUUAGCCCAUGCAACACACACAUGCACACAUCUUAACUAGCGUCACAUCAUUUUUUUCACAACAUAGUAACAGUCAUUAAAAAAAAAAAUUUGUUUAAUAAUUCUGCACAUGAAAUCAAUUUUAAAUUCAAAACAGCGUGUCUCGUAUUCAACUAAGUUGAUUGUCCAACAAACAUUUACAUGAAGUGUUGUUUUUUUUAAACCAAGUUUUCAACCCAUACUAUAAACAACUGGGAAAAAAAAAGUUUUUUUAAACCAAGUUUUCAACCCAUACUAUAAACAACUGGGAAAAAAAAAAUUUUUUUAAACCAAGUUUUCAACC